UCUUUUGUUAACUUAAAACUUUAUUUCUAGUUUACUUUCAAUCAAAUAUUACUGAUCCAUUUCUGAAGAAGCAUCUGUUAGUGAUUGGUGCUCAGUCUCAGAGCAGUUCUUCACGGGACUGUGACGAUGACAUCCUCCACGUGGUCUCAGAGCAGUUCUUCACUGAACUGUGAGGAUGACGUAGGAUGACAUCCUUUCUGUGGUAUCAGAGCCGUUCACGGAGCUGUGAGGAUGACACCCUUCAUGUGGUCUCAGAGCAGUUCUUCGUGGAGCCGUGAGGAUGACGCCCUUCCCGUGGACUCAGAGCAGUUCUUCGUGGAGCCGUGAGGAUGACGCCCUUCCCGUGGACUCAGAGCAGUUCUUCGUGGAGCCGUGAGGAUGACGCCCUUCCCAGCAUUCUUCGUGGAGCCGUGAGGAUGACGCCCUUCCCGUGGACUCAGAGCAGUUCUUCGUGGAGCCGUGAGGAUGACGUCCUUUCUGUGGUAUCAGAGCCGUUCACGGAGCUGUGAGGAUGACACCCUUCAUGUGGUCUCAGAGCAGUUCUUCUUCUUCGUGGAGCCGUGAGGAUGACGCCCUUCCCGUGGACUCAGAGCAGUUCUUCGUGGAGCCGUGAGGAUGACGCCCUUCACGUGGACUCAGAGCAGUUCUUCGUGGAGCCGUGAGGAUGACGUCCUUCCCGUGGACUCAGAGCAGUUCUUCGUGGAGCCAUGAGGAUGACGUCCUUUCUGUGGUAUCAGAGCCGUUCACGGAGCUGUGAGGAUGACACCCUUCAUGUGGUCUCAGAGCAGUUCUUCGUGGAGCCGUGAGGAUGACGUCCUUCCCGUGGACUCAGAGCAGUUCUUCGUGGAGCUGUGAGGAUGACGUCCUUCCCGUGGACUCAGAGCAGUUCUUCGUGGAGCUGUGAGGAUGACGUCCUUCCCGUGGACUCAGAGCAGUUCUUCGUGGAGCUGUGAGGAUGACGUCCUUUCUGUGGUUUCAGAGCCGUUCAGGGAACUGUGGGGAUGCCGUUUUUCCCACGGUAUCAGAGCAGUUCUUCAUGGAUCUGUGAUGAUGAUGUCCUUCCUUUGGGGGCUUAGUUUCGUCUAGUUGUGUUCCUUGCCACCCUGUUGUUACCUGAGUAUAACCAGUACUGUGACAGGUGGAUUCAUGUCAGUGUUUUGACCAAUACCGUUAAAUCGUUUCAUCUGACCACAUUAACGUUUUUUUGUAAUUCAUCAAAUAAUUGUAAUUCAUAGUCG
rnacentral:lncRNA from 1 species